rnacentral:tRNA from 3 species
GGUAGAAUGGCUGAGUAAAGCAAUAGACUGUAAAUCUAAGAACAGAGGUUAAAUUCCUCUUUUUACCA